rnacentral:piRNA from 1 species
UGUGAUCUAUCCAAAUCCGUAAUUGCCC